GUAGCACAGAGAGCUUGCUCUCGGGUGACGAGUGGCGGACGGGUGAGUAAUGUCUGGGAAACAGCCUGAUGGAGGGGGAUAACUACUGGAAACGGUAGCUAAUACCGCAUAACGUCGCAAGACCAAAGAGGGGGACCUUCGGGCCUCUUGCCAUCAGAUGUGCCCAGAUGGGAUUAGCUAGUAGGUGGGGUAACGGCUCACCUAGGCGACGAUCCCUAGCUGGUCUGAGAGGAUGACCAGCCACACUGGAACUGAGACACGGUCCAGACUCCUACGGGAGGCAGCAGUGGGGAAUAUUGCACAAUGGGGGAAACCCUGAUGCAGCCAUGCCGCGUGUGUGAAGAAGGCCUUCGGGUUGUAAAGCACUUUCAGCGAGGAGGAAAGGUCAGUAGCUAAUAUCUGCUGGCUGUGACGUUACUCGCAGAAGAAGCACCGGCUAACUCCGUGCCAGCAGCCGCGGUAAUACGGAGGGUGCAAGCGUUAAUCGGAAUUACUGGGCGUAAAGCGCACGCAGGCGGUUGGAUAAGUUAGAUGUGAAAGCCCCGGGCUCAACCUGGGAAUUGCAUUUAAAACUGUCCAGCUAGAGUCUUGUAGAGGGGGGUAGAAUUCCAGGUGUAGCGGUGAAAUGCGU
rnacentral:rRNA from 1 species